GCCUGGGUGGCUCAGUUGGUUGAGCGUCUGACUUUGGCUCAGGUCAUGAUCUCGCGGUUCAUGAGUUCAAGCCCCAUGUCAGGCU
rnacentral:tRNA from 1 species